rnacentral:rRNA from 1 species
ACAUGCAAGCGAACGGCAGCAUGGUGCUUGCACCUGAUGGCGAGUGGCGAACGGGUGAGUAAUGCGAUCGGGAACGUACCCGGAAGUGGGGGAUAACGUAGCGAAAGUUACGCUAAUACCGCAUAUUCUGUGAGCAGGAAAGCGGGGAUCGCAAGACCUCGCGCUUCCGGAGCGGCCGAUGUCGGAUUAGCUAGUUGGCGGGUAAAGGCCCACCAAGGCAACGAUCCGUAGCGGGUCUGAGAGGAUGAUCCGCCACACUGGGACUGAGACACGGCCCAGACUCCUACGGGAGGCAGCAGUGGGGAAUUUUGGACAAUGGGCGCAAGCCUGAUCCAGCCAUGCCGCGUGAGUGAAGAAGGCCUUCGGGUUGUAAAGCUCUUUCGGCUGGGAAGAAAUCGCAUCUCCUAAUACGGGGUGUGGAUGACGGUACCAGCAUAAGAAGCACCGGCUAACUACGUGCCAGCAGCCGCGGUAAUACGU